GAUGAACGCUGGCGGCGUGCCUAAUACAUGCAAGUCGAGCGAACAGACGAGGAGCUUGCUCCUCUGACGUUAGCGGCGGACGGGUGAGUAACACGUGGAUAACCUACCUAUAAGACUGGGAUAACUUCGGGAAACCGGAGCUAAUACCGGAUAAUAUAUUGAACCGCAUGGUUCAAUAGUGAAAGACGGUUUUGCUGUCACUUAUAGAUGGAUCCGCGCCGCAUUAGCUAGUUGGUAAGGUAACGGCUUACCAAGGCAACGAUGCGUAGCCGACCUGAGCGGGUGAUCGGCCACACUGGAACUGAGACGCGGUCCAGACUCCUACGGGAGGCAGCAGUAGGGAAUGUUCCGCAAUGGGCGAAAGCCUGACGGAGCAGCGCCGCGUGAGUGAUGAAGGUCUUCGGAUCGUAAAACUCUGUUAUUAGGGAAGAACAAAUGUGUAAGUAACUAUGCACGUCUUGACGGUACCUAAUCAGAAAGCCACGGCUAACUACGUG
rnacentral:rRNA from 1 species